rnacentral:lncRNA from 1 species
UGGCUAUGGUCACCCCCAGCCCUACUGUGUCUGUGUGCAGGCUGGUGGAAAUUACCCAGAAGCUGGAUAUGCUUAAAGAGGAGCCUGGGAUCAUCAAUCGGAUGCCAGACUGUCCUGGAGUGCAGAACGCGCCCCACAGAGGUCCCCUGAGCCAGAAGGGCUCCUUUGGCCCGUCCCCUGUGAGUGGCGGUGAAUGCUCCCCGCCCCCAGGCGCACAGCCCCCUGGAUGGCCGCCAUCUGCAAGCCUGAACUUGGCACGCCAUGACAUUGCAAGAGCCGACUUCGGUGAGCCUCUCCAGGGCCUCUAGUCCCGGACUCCGGGACACCAUGCUGCCUUGCCCCGGGCAUGGUUCCCUG